rnacentral:rRNA from 1 species
UAGGGAAUAUUGCGCAAUGGGCGAAAGCCUGACGCAGCGACGCCGCGUGAGUGAUGAAGGCCUUCGGGUCGUAAAGCUCUGUUGUACGGGAAGAAACAAAUGACGGUACCGUAUAAGAAAGGACCGGCUAACUUCGUGCCAGCAGCCGCGGUAAUACGAGGGGUCCUAGCGUUGUUCGGAAUCAUUGGGCGUAAAGAGUAUGUAGGCGGCUAUAUAAGUCAGGUGUGAAAGCCCCGGGCUCAACCCGGGAAGUGCAUCUGAUACUGUCUAGCUUGAGUACUGGAGAGGGUAGUGGAAUUCCAGGUGUAGUGGUGAAAUACGUAGAUAUCUGGAGGAACACCGGUGGCGAAGGCGGCUACCUGGCCAUGUACUGACGCUGAGAUACGAAAGCGUGGGGAGC